GUCUAUUGUAAUAUAAAUUUAAAAUUUGACCGUCAAUUUAAUGAUAAAAUGUAACAACGCAGACAUGCAUUCUCACUCGACUUCCACGUAGACUUCACAUCAGAUAAUGGUAAUAUUUAACUAAAAAAACUGUUAACUAAUUCAAUAAAAUUUAAAAUCACAAAAAAAAUCUAAUUUAUGGAUUUUGGAUCUGUUCAUCUUUACCACUUCACCGUCAUCAUCAACCACUACCACCACCAUUCUCAUUGAAUCUAUUCAUGGCUACUUCCCCUUCCCUACCUUUGAAAUCUUCUUCCAACUAUGAAACAAAAUCUAGUUCUAUAGCUCCGCUUUCUCUCUUUAUCAUCUUCCUGCUCUCUUCUUCCAUCUCCACGUCGGUAGCGGCGAUGGCGGACAACAAACGGCAUCCCUCGUCGUCGUCGUCCGCUAAGCUUGAAUUUGCCGAUUGUCAUCCCGCGGCGGAUAGGAGAAAAUCCGCCUCCUCUUGGCCCUUCCGCGGCUAAAUUCUAUGAUUUGUGCUUUCUUCCUCGCGAAAUUCGCCGUCGGGGAUGAAAUCCGGCUGCUCCUGUAGUGCGGCCAUGGCCAUGGCUUCCACGUCAAAUGCAUCGACACCUGACUGGGCACCCAGAAGAAGAAGAAGAUUUAGAGGAAGAAGAAGAAGUGAAAGAAAAAGAAGAAGGAGGAGAUAGCUGAGAUGGAUGAAGGAGGGUGGGUAAGAGGAGGCGAAGAGGGAUGUGGGUGAGAGGUCAGAGAAGAGGUAUAUAAUUGUAUUUUUUGUUUUAUUUUUUCUUUUAAUAUUAGAUUAAAUUUUCUAAUUUUAAAAUAUUAAUUAUUUGAAUGCCCUGUUACAUUAUUUUUUGUGUAUCUACGAUCAACUGUUAUUGUCCACCUCAACAAAUCAAACUUUACGGAGAUAAUGAAGAUUCAAAAUCUGUGUCACAAUAGACAUUUCUAAUAGGUUGUGUCAUUUUGAGUCAAGACUCAAUAGGUUGGGCCUUCAGAGAUUUUGACGAUUGAUAAGUCAGAAUUUUGACUACUAUUGUUGUGAUAAUGGUUACAAUAAUAAGAAAUAGGUUAUAUAGCAAGCUACCAAACUAACUCUAAUCCUCUAUUGAAUAAACAAACUAACUGAAACAAACCAAAACUCAUAUAAUUUUAAAAUUAUCCGGCUCUGUUACCCAACAUUUAUCCCUAGUAGUUAUAAGCUGAUGGAUUUUGAUAUUGACUGAACCUUUAGUUAAUUGGCUUGACACAAGAUAUUACUAGCCAUGUUUUUGGUUUUGGUAGUGAAAUUCAAAUUACUAGUCAUUUUGUCCCUUCACAUUAAUCACAUAUUUGUUUCUAAAGAGUCAAACAAAGAAUAGAGGAAGAAGUGUUGAAUAUGGAUGUGACAAUAACAUUGAAUGCGAUCGUGCAAAUAACUCUGCAUACACAAUUAAUACCAUGUUUGACUAAUUUCAUCCAAAAUAUUGGUGAACUCAUCCAUCCCAAAUAUUUACUGUUACAGCUUUGCUUCAUUAAAAUCUUAUACCUUAGCUUUACCUCAGCACCUGUCUGUCUCUCGUCAAGUUAUAUAUAUUUAUUUAUAUGAUCUUCUUUAUGAUGAAUGAAUUGUCAUGGUCUAGCGCCAUAAUAACGAACUAAUAAUGAAAUGAAAGGUCCUAUUCUCGCACCACAAAUAAGAAUCAAGAUGAAGAAAGUGAAAAGGGAAUAUCAUGAGGGCCGGGCCGGUAGGGAUUCUCUCUCUCUCUAUCUCUUUCACUGAUACUCUUUACUUUAGGGCUGCAUAUAUACAUACAGAAGCACAAGCAGCAGCAGCAGCUGCCUGUUAUUGCUUUUUUUGCUUACUGCUGCUGCUGCUAGUGCAGUGCAGGGCAGGACCCUCCCAUCCAUCACUCACUACGUACAAAGCAGAGCUAUUGCCUAUUAGCUAGGCAUCUCUAUCUAUAGCUCUUCUUGCAUUAGCGUAGACCUGCUGGGAUGGGGCUGGGGGGUCGGUUUCUGUAGUAUAAUUAAAGAAGAAAAGGCUGCAAAACUUCAUAUGGGUUUUCAAGUACCCGUAAAAUAUUUACUCCCCAUCACAAACUGCUAUUUCAUUCACAUUAUUAUUAUUAUUAUUCGAAACAAAGACAGAAUUAUCACAAGAACACUCUAAUUCCUAGGAGGGCUAUGAUUUCUGGAUUAGCUUCCAAACAGAGAAAAUCCUCCCCUGCACCGGGAGAGGUUAAAAAUUUAACGGAAAGAGUUUCAGGAAGUUCUAGGAUUUCUGGACGGAGGGACACUUUGGGUAUUUAGUAAUUUAUUUUUAUUUUAAUUAACCUACAGUAUUGUGAACCCUACUCCCGCCUCUUUGCAAUUUUUUGUGCUGCCAUCGCCACCUACUCAUGUAACGCAAGAUCAACGAGUGAUUCAAUCCAGGAGCAAUGACGGCUGUGAGGAUGCUGUCGAAGGGGUCUAGAUGUCGAGGGAGAACGGAUAGAAGGCGUUGCUCCUCCUUUCGCG
rnacentral:lncRNA from 1 species